AGCUCCAAUAGCGUAUAUUAAAGUUGUUGCGGUUGAAAAGCUCGUAGUUGGCUUUCUGUCAGGGCAAACCGGUCCGCCCUCCGGGUGAGUAUCUGGCUUGGCCUUGGCAUCAUCUUGGCGGGCGUUUCUGCACUUCAUUGUGUGGUGCGCUGGCCAGGGCGUUUACUUUGAGGAAAUUAGAGUGUUUCACGCAGGCGCACGCCUUGAAUACAUUAGCAUGGAAUAAUACAUCAGGGCUGCAGCUCUAUUUCGUUGGUUUUUGGAGCUGUGGCAAUAGUCAACAGGGAUAGUUGGGGGCAUUCGUAUUUAACUGUCAGAGGUGAAAUUCUUGGAUUUGUUAAAGACGGACCACUGCGAAAGCAUUUGCCAAGGAUGUUUUCA
rnacentral:rRNA from 1 species